AGCGAACGCUGGCGGCAGGCCUAAUACAUGCAAGUCGAGCGCACCUUCGGGUGAGCGGCGGACGGGUGAGUAACGCGUGGGAACGUGCCCUUUGGUACGGGAUAACUCAGGGAAACUUGAGCUAAUACCGUAUGUGCCCUUCGGGGGAAAGAUUUAUCGCCAUUGGAGCGGCCCGCGUUGGAUUAGCUAGUUGGUGGGGUAAAGGCCUACCAAGGCUACGAUCCAUAGCUGGUCUGAGAGGAUGAUCAGCCACACUGGGACUGAGACACGGCCCAGACUCCUACGGGAGGCAGCAGUAGGGAAUCUUGCGCAAUGGGCGAAAGCCUGACGCAGCCAUGCCGCGUGAAUGAUGAAGGUCUUAGGAUUGUAAAAUUCUUUCACCGGGGAAGAUAAUGACGGUACCCGGAGAAGAAGCCCCGGCUAACUUCGUGCCAGCAGCCGCCGUAAAAC
rnacentral:rRNA from 1 species